UACGUAGGGUGCAAGCGUUAAUCGGAAUUACUGGGCGUAAAGCGUGCGCAGGCGGUCCGUUAAGACAGAUGUGAAAUCCCCGGGCUUAACCUGGGAACUGCAUUUGUGACUGGCGGACUUGAGUAUGGCAGAGGGGGGUAGAAUUCCACGUGUAGCAGUGAAAUGCGUAGAGAUGUGGAGGAAUACCGAUGGCGAAGGCAGCCUCCUGGGCCAACACUGACGCUCAUGCACGAAAGCGUGGGGAGCAAACAGG
rnacentral:rRNA from 1 species